rnacentral:rRNA from 1 species
AUUGAACGCUGGCGGCAGGCCUAACACAUACAAGUCGAGCGGAUGAAGGGAGCUUGCUCCUGGAUUCAGCGGCGGACGGGUGAGUAAUGCCUAGGAAUCUGCCUGGUAGUGGGGGAUAACGUCCGGAAACGGGCGCUAAUACCGCAUACGUCCUGAGGGAGAAAGUGGGGGAUCUUCGGACCUCACGCUAUCAGAUGAGCCUAGGUCGGAUUAGCUAGUUGGUGGGGUAAAGGCCUACCAAGGCGACGAUCCGUAACUGGUCUGAGAGGAUGAUCAGUCACACUGGAACUGAGACACGGUCCAGACUCCUACGGGAGGCAGCAGUGGGGAAUAUUGGACAAUGGGCGAAAGCCUGAUCCAGCCAUGCCGCGUGUGUGAAGAAGGUCUUCGGAUUGUAAAGCACUUUAAGUUGGGAGGAAGGGCAGUAAGUUAAUACCUUGCUGUUUUGACGUUACCAACAGAAUAAGCGCCGGCUAACUUCGUG